UACGUAGGGUGCAAGCGUUAUCCGGAAUUAUUGGGCGUAAAGAGCUCGUAGGCGGUUUGUCGCGUCUGCUGUGAAAACUGGGGGCUCAACCCCCAGCCUGCAGUGGGUACGGGCAGACUAGAGUGCGGUAGGGGAGAUUGGAAUUCCUGGUGUAGCGGUGGAAUGCGCAGAUAUCAGGAGGAACACCGGUGGCGAAGGCGGAUCUCUGGGCCAUAACUGACGCUGAGGAACGAAAGCGUGGGUAGCGAACAGGA
rnacentral:rRNA from 1 species